GCCAACUUAUUCUUCUUCUUUUUUUUCCACACAUUGCUAACUUAUUCAUAUCAUAUAUUCGACAGAGACGAAAAGGAAACACCAAAAACCCAGAAAAAACCACCACCGAAAAUAUACCUCUCGCUUUCUCUUGCAAUCAUUCAACUCAAACAGAAGAAACUUCUCUCCAGCUUCAGCAAUAAUACCAGUUUGGGUUUCUGUUGUGGACUUUUAAGGGCUUUGCUAGUGUUUGAUCCGAAGACUCUAUGUCGUUGUCGACCUGAUUCUCGCUUUCGCUUCGGUUUGUUCUCGAUGACCUGAAUCUUCCUAUCUUCUUUGAUUUUUCUGAUAAUUAUCAGAUGAGAAGUUCUGGGUUGGUUCUUCUUAACUUCUACUUCUCCUUCGUCUUCUUCAAUCCGAUUUUGACAGAGUUUCAAGUUGAGGGAGCAUUUGUUGGAACUUAUGGGAUAAAUUAUGGAAGGAUUGCGGAUAACAUCCCGUCGCCGGAUAAAGUAGUUUUACUUCUAAAGCAAGCUAAAAUUCGGAAUGUGCGUAUAUACGACGCUGACCACAGUGUACUUCAAGCUUUCAGUGGGACUGGUUUAGACCUUGUGGUUGGACUCCCAAAUGGGUUCUUAAAAGAGAUGAGUUCAAAUACCGAUCAUGCAUUCACUUGGGUCAAAGAGAAUGUUCAGUCUUUCUUACCGAAGACUCGGAUCCGCGGUAUCGCAGUAGGAAAUGAAGUUCUCGGAGGCGGUGAUUCGGAGCUGUCGGGAGCCUUACUGGGUGCAGCUAAAAAUGUCUACAAUGCGUUGAAAAAAAUGAAUCUGGAGAAAACUGUGCAGAUCACGACGGCUCAUUCACAGGCUGUGUUUGCUAAUUCAUACCCGCCGUCGUCCUGUAUAUUCAAAGAGAAUGUUGUUCAGUAUAUGAAGCCACUGUUGCAAUUCCUUAAUCAGAUUGGCUCUCCAUUUUGUUUGAACGCGUACCCCUUUUUGGCGUACACUUAUAACCCGACUGAGAUCGAUAUCAACUAUGCUCUUUUCAAGCCGACGGAAGGCAUAUAUGACCCGAAAACUGAUCUACGUUAUGACAACAUGCUUGAUGCUCAGAUUGAUGCCGCCUACAUGGCACUGCAAGAUGCUGGGUUCAAGAAGAUGGAGGUUAUUAUUACUGAAACCGGAUGGGCUUCUAAAGGCGAUUCAGAUGAACCUGCAGCAACACCAGAGAACGCAAGAACUUAUAACUAUAACCUCAGGAAGAGGCUUGCAAAGAAGAAAGGGACACCUCUUAGACCAAAAACAGUACUCAAAGCAUACAUCUUUGCAUUAUUCAAUGAAAAUUCAAAACCGGGGAAGAGUUCAGAGACACACUUUGGACUGUUUAAGCCUGAUGGAAACAUAUCAUAUGAUAUUGGAUUCAACAGUCUGAAGUCCGAUGCUGCCAAGAAACACUUUUCAUCGUCAAAGGUAUGAAUACUCUGCUUGGAGAAGCCAUGGUAUACAUAUCAGAUGAUAUUGGAUUCAGCAGUCUGAAGUCUAUUUGGCAUUGACCAAUCCAUUAUGCAGCUCGUUACUAUGUGGCAUUAGUAAUCUCUGUCUCGGUAUUCCUCCUGAUGAUAUAAUUGCAGCAAUGGUUUGAGCUUUCACGGUUGGAUCCUCGGAUUUUGUCAUACAUUCUUAGAAAUAUGAUAUACUGUACUUUACUAGGAGUGAAAGGCUAACGAAUUGGUAGGAGCACAAAUUUAUUGGAAUUUUCAUACAUCGUAGCCAAGAGAUAUUCAGAAAAUACAUCAUCAGACAGUUUCAUAUAUUAUUCUUAUGUAAACAAAUUUAUACAUAAAUUUGGGUCAUUGCUUAGGUUUAAGGGUAUCAGAGGAUUUAUGGAUAUUGUGUUUCUUAUAAAUUUACGAUUAUAGAAGGAUAAUACCAAUUCUACAA